GGUAGCCUGUGGGAUGGGAUAGCACAGCUCUCAGGCUGACCUCGCGCUUCUUUUCCCCUUUCUCCUUUUCAUUAAGAGCCCAACACCAAAGAGACAAGUUCUUUAAGUCCUUGGCUGUCGCUAGUUUUGUUUUUGGAUUCCACAUGAGAUUAUCUCUUCUGAGAGAUUUUUCCUGACUACCUUCCAGAGUGCCCUCCUCUCCCCCAGACCACUUGAAGUUUCGCUAACUCACUUCUGGGACUUCGAAUAAUCAGGCCCCUGACAUAGCCAGUGCUGCAGUGUGUCAGAGAGGCAGGAGGAUUGUGAGUUGUAUGCCAGAUGACAACUUCCCAGAAGAGUGGGAUCUGAGCUGACCCUUGAGAUGGGUGUGAAGCCACUGUACAAAAGACGAGGAGAGCGUCAACCUGAGUUCAAAUAAUUUCUGCGCUGCCAUUAGCUGAAGACACUUGCUGAAAAGGAGAAACCAUUUGAUUUGGAGUUAUUAGAGUGGAAACCUCCUGUCAACUCCACUGAAGACCUGUCUUACCUGGUUGCACUGAAUAUCCUACAGUCACAUGGCUGGAGGUCAAAGUGCAUCUAAAGUUGUCCCAGAAGCAUUCCCUCACCAGCCCAUAGCUGUGACCUGAAGUUCUUCCAACAUAGAUUCAACUUUGGGAAUAAAAUGUCAUCUGCCAUUCCUUAU